AGAUUGAACGCUGGCGGCAUGCCUAACACAUGCAAGUCGAACGGGAGUAGCAAUACUCUAGUGGCGGACGGGUGAGGAAUACGUAGGAAUUUGCCCUUAAGUGGGGGAUAACCCGGGGAACCCGGAUUAAUACCGCAUGACCUCGAAAGAGCAAAGUGGGGGAUCGCAAGACCUCACGCUUUUGGAGAAGCCUACGUCGGAUUAGCUAGUUGGUGAGGUAAUGGCUCACCAAGGCGACGACUCCGUAACUGGUCUGAGAGGAUGAUCAGUCACACCGGAACUGAGACACGGUCCGGACUCCGUACGGGAGGCACGCGAGGUGGGAAUAGUUAGGACAAGUGGCG
rnacentral:rRNA from 1 species